GGAAUGCUUUGGGCGGCGGGGGAGCCAGAGGAAGGGGAGCUACCGUGGCCUUGGCUUUGCUCAGGUGCUGUAACGCAGGAACACACAGCAACUACACAGCGAACAAUGAAACCGAAGUAUGGGACACAAGGACAACACUGUCUAGCUAAUGAACGAUCCCUGCUCCCUCACAAGGGAAGCCCAACAGCUGCAGCAAGAGGAGUCCAUGCCUGAACACAAGGAGUGCUCCCCUAGGCCAUGCUGCUUAUGCACAUGUAUGCCUCUACACUUCUGGUUACAAGGGCCUUCACCAUACCAGCCUGGGAUAUUUUACAUGGCAAAAAAACAGUGUUCAAGGCAAAGGUAAAAACACAUGCAGGUAGUAAGUUCAUGGGAUAGAACUGGGAGUUUUAAAGUAGACCCUGGCUCAGCCUCACAACUCCUAAGGAGAGUAGGUAUCAUUGCCCUGUUUUACAGAUGGGGAAACUGAGGCAGAAAAUUGCAAAGGGUUUUAUAGAGUCAAUGACAGAGCUGAAAUUAGAACUUAGGUCUUCCUGACUAAUGCUGGUCAUAGUCCUCCUAUACUGCCCAUCAAUGGUAGUUUCAAGCCAGGCAGUAUUUGUCCCAUAACUGCUUGGUUGAAAUCACCAUUAGCCAGUUAGCAUGCAGUCUCAGUCUGCCCACUUUAUAAGAAGGGAUAAUCUGAUACUUGGAUUCAGUAGAGAAAUGCGCAGAAUUCUGAACUCCGAGAGACAGUUCUUCAACUGUGCCUCAAACUAAAUGGUUAGACUAAAUACUGUACACAUUCCACUCAUCUGCAUGGAAACUCUACAGGAACUGCAGCAGCAUGUAUGGCAGAGCCUGAGAUAUACUUGCUUCCAGCGCGGAGCACUAUCCAGGGAGCUACUUGACUCAACUCCAGCAAAGUCAGACACCAAGGAUUUCUCUGGUGGCACAACACAAGGCUCCUCUCACUGCCCUGGCUCACCAUGGCGGGGUGGAUAAAAAUCAAUGAUUUUAAAAAAAUAAAAAAUGGGAUUUUUUUGAUAAAAUGCUUUUUGAGGACAAAACUUAUCUAAAGAUAGUUUUAAUUAAGAUACAUUAUAGCUCAAAGAUUCCUCAUCAUGGAAUAGGGAUUAUAAAUUCUAAUUCUAUAGUAUGAGACAAUAUAUUCAUGUAAUGUUUAAGAAAGUUUUGUGAAUCCAAUAGUUCAUGGAUUAGGGACCCAAUUUUAUGGAGUUCCAGGGGCUUCUGUAUAGAUUAUUUAGGUUAAUCUUUCUAUCUACCCAAUGGGACUCAGUGCUCAGUCUAGAAGACACCAUCAGAGAUGCUUAGUUUUGCAUUUCUUAAAACUGUAUGGAUUUCUCUCUCCAGAGAUAACAUGCUUGUUAACAGCAAAAAUGUUUUUAAAUAAAUAAAUAUAGAUAGAGGUGAGAAAUAACAGACCUUAACCCUAUUGUCCCUCUGCCAGUUUGUGUACACAGAGUCAAUCCCUUACCUCUCUCUAAAAGUGCAAAGUUUCAAAAAGUUCAAUGAAGAGAAGAUAAUUGGGGGUGGAAUAGAUCUGGACAAGGAGAAGAAGUCUGGAGAUAAAUGUGAGAAGGGAGGGACAGGCAGUAGAAACAAAAGUGAAGCUGUUGGUUUGGCAACUUCCACCUUUUCAUGUUCUCUGUAUUGUGACAAAGUUCCUCCUCUACCUUGGUGGCAGUGAUGAGCUGCCAAAAUAUUAACAACAGGUUCCCUCCUCCUCACCCCACGAGGGGGUCAUGCCCCAUCCAACUCCCCAUGUUCCUUGAUGCCCCAUCCACCCCCCUUCCCUGUCCCC